CGGAGUUUAGUUUAUUUAGAACAUUUUGUUUACAACAAAAAGGAAUUUCAAGUUAACUCUGU
rnacentral:tRNA from 1 species